UACGGGGGGAGCAAGCGUUGUUCGGAUUUACUGGGCGUAAAGGGCGCGUAGGCGGCCACCGCAAGUCAGUUGUGAAAUCUCUGGGCUUAACCCAGAACGGGUCAGCUGAUACUGCGGGGCUAGAGUGCAGAAGGGGCAACUGGAAUUCUCGGUGUAGCGGUGAAAUGCGUAGAUAUCGAGAGGAACACCAGUGGCGAAGGCGGCUCACUGGCUCGACACUGACGCUGAGGUGCGAAAGCGUGGGGAGCAAACAGG
rnacentral:rRNA from 1 species